rnacentral:tRNA from 1 species
GGGGAAGUAGCUCAGUGGUAGAGCUCCCGCUUCGUACGCGGAGAGACCUGAGUUCGAUUCCCGGGUGCCUUU